UAAUACCGCAUAACAAUGGAUGACUCAUGUCUUUUAUUUGAAAGGGGCAAAUGCUCCACUACAAGAUGGACCUGCGUUGUAUUAGCUAGUAGGUGAGGUAACGGCUCACCUAGGCGACGAUACAUAGCCGACCUGAGAGGGUGAUCGGCCACACUGGGACUGAGACACGGCCCAGACUCCUACGGGAGGCAGCAGUAGGGAAUCUUCGGCAAUGGGGGCAACCCUGACCGAGCAACGCCGCGUGAGUGAAGAGGGUUUUCGGAUCGUAAAGCUCUGUUAUAAGUCAAGAACGAGUGUGAGAGUGGAAAGUUCACACUGUGACGGUAGCUUACCAGAAAGGGACGGCUAACUACGUGCCAGCAGCCGCGGUAAUACGUAGGUCCCGAGCGUUGUCCGGAUUUAUUGGGCGUAAAGCGAGCGCAGGCGGUUUGAUAAGUCUGAAGUUAAAGGCUGUGGCUCAACCAUAGUUCGCUUUGGAAACUGUCAAACUUGAGUGCAGAAGGGGAGAGUGGAAUUCCAUGUGUAGCGGUGAAAUGCGUAGAUAUAUGGAGGAACACCGGUGGCGAAAGCGGCUCUCUGGUCUGUAACUGACGCUGAGGCUCGAAAGCGUGGGGAGCGAACAGGAUUAGAUACCCUGGUAGUCCACGCCGUAAACGAUGAGUGCUAG
rnacentral:rRNA from 1 species